rnacentral:lncRNA from 1 species
ACAGGCUGGACACAUGACAUGUGACCCUGGCUUGCCAUAGUGACUUCCCACUUGCCAGACACAGAGAUUGGUGUGGGAAGUCACCCAGAACCAAAGAAAACAAACAAAAUAUCAAGCAUUUUUGUAAAUAAAAGCCAAGGGGAGGCUAUCUUUAUUUCUGGUCACAGAGCUGUGUGAACAUGGCGCCGGAGCUGGGGCAGACACGGCUGCCACCCAGAAGGAGGAAGAAAGGCGACAGCCAGCCAGCGAUGGAACAGGAAAGAGCAGGCUCCGCAGCAUCGCACUCCCAGGUUUGCCUGCCCCUCGUUCCAGGGAAAGAAACCAAGGCCUUUGCCCUGAGCUACAUCCCCAGUCCUUUCUUUUUUUUUUUUUUUUAUUUUGAGACACAAUCUUGCUAAUCACUAUGUUGCCCAAGCUGGCCUCAAACAUGAUUCUCCUGCCUCAGCUUCCUGGUGUGCUGGGACCACAGGCAUAUGCCACCACACCACGCCUGUGCAGAUUUCGAAUUUCUUUCCUGCAAACCAGAGUCCUGAGAACAGAACACUCCAACAGCUUCCCUCUUCACCAUACCCUUUUCUAAAAAAAUUGAAGCCUUACAUGUCUAAGAAUGGAACCUGCCCCAUCUUUCCCUGAUGAGCAUCAAGUUGUUCUCUUGUCAUCUUGGUUAUGUUGGGAGCUACAUUUUCCAGUUCCCCUUGCCUGUGUGGCUCCUUGGAGACUCAGUGUGGUGGGGCGUGGUGUGCUGGCAGUGAAGUGCUUGUCCUCACCUUCCCUGCCCUGUGACCACCGGCCCUGCUGACCAGCACUGACCCCUCCUGCGUCCCCAGAUGCCACCAAGAGCCUACAUCCUUUCGAGGACGGCCUUGGGCCUGCCUUGCUUUGUGGGAGUCCCGGGCCAGGCCAGGCACGGCUACUACAGACAGCUAAGUCAGGCAGCAAUGAACGGCCGCUCAACAAGGGACCGGCCCUGGCAGGCGU